rnacentral:rRNA from 1 species
ACCCAGACUCCUACGGGAGGCAGCAGUGGGGAAUAUUGCACAAUGGGGGAAACCCUGAUGCAGCGACGCCGCGUGAGCGAUGAAGUAUUUCGGUAUGUAAAGCUCUAUCAGCAGGGAAGAAGAUGACGGUACCUGACUAAGAAGCCCCGGCUAACUACGUGCCAGCAGCCGCGGUAAUACGUAGGGGGCAAGCGUUAUCCGGAUUUACUGGGUGUAAAGGGAGCGUAGACGGCGAUGCAAGCCAGAUGUGAAAGCCCGGGGCUCAACCCCGGGACUGCAUUUGGAACUGUGUGGCUGGAGUGUCGGAGAGGCAGGCGGAAUUCCUAGUGUAGCGGUGAAAUGCGUAGAUAUUAGGAGGAACACCGGCGGCGAAGGCGGCCUGCUGGACCGCGACUGACGUUGAGGCUCGAAAGCGUGGGGAGCGAACAGGAUUAGAUACCCUAGUA